UAUAUCGGAACGUGCCCAGUCGUGGGGGGAUAACGUUCGGAAACGAACGCUAAUACCGCAUACGUCCUACGGGAGAAAGCAGGGGACCUUCGGGCCUUGCGCUAUCAGAUGAGCCUAGGUCGGAUUAGCUAGUUGGUGAGGUAAUGGCUCACCAAGGCGACGAUCCGUAACUGGUCUGAGAGGAUGAUCAGUCACACUGGAACUGAGACACGGUCCAGACUCCUACGGGAGGCAGCAGUGGGGAAUAUUGGACAAUGGGCGAAAGCCUGAUCCAGCCAUGCCGCGUGUGUGAAGAAGGUCUUCGGAUUGUAAAGCACUUUAAGUUGGGAGGAAGGGCAGUUACCUAAUACGUGAUUGUUUUGACGUUACCGACAGAAUAAGCACCGGCUAACUCUGUG
rnacentral:rRNA from 1 species